rnacentral:rRNA from 1 species
UAGGGAAUCUUCCGCAAUGGACGCAAGUCUGACGGAGCAACGCCGCGUGAGUGAAGAAGGAUUUCGGUUCGUAAAACUCUGUUGUUAGAGAAGAACAGCGCAUAGAGUAACUGUUAUGCGUGUGACGGUAUCUAACCAGAAAGCCACGGCUAACUACGUGCCAGCAGCCGCGGUAAUACGUAGGUGGCAAGCGUUGUCCGGAUUUAUUGGGCGUAAAGCGAGCGCAGGCGGUCAAUUAAGUCUGAUGUGAAAGCCCCCGGCUCAACCGGGGAGGGUCAUUGGAAACUGGUUGACUUGAGUGCAGAAGAGGAGAGUGGAAUUCCAUGUGUAGCGGUGAAAUGCGUAGAUAUAUGGAGGAACCCCAGUGGCGAAGGCGACUCUCUGGUCUGUAACUGACGCUGAGGCUCGAAAGCGUGGGUAGCAAACAGG